GAUUUUUGUCCAAUGGGGGGAACCCUGACCCGGCCAUGCCGCUUGUGUGACGCAGGCCUUUUGGUUGUAAGGCACUUUAAGCGAGGAGUCGGCGCUCUUUGUUAAUACCCAAGCUGCGUGGACGUUGCUCGCAGACUAAGCAGCGCCGAACUCUGUGCCAGCCGCCGCGGUAAUCAAGUGGGGGAAAGCGUUAAUCGGAGUUACUGGGCGUAAAGCGCGCGUAGGUGGCCAAAUAAGGCAAAUGUGAAAUGCCCGAGCUUAACGUGGGAAUUGGAUUCGAUACUGGGUGGCUAGAGUAUGGGAGAGGAUGGUAGAAUUCAAGGUGUAGCGGUGAAAUGCGUAGAGAUCUGGAGGAAUCCCGAUGGCGAAGGCAGCCAUCUGGCCGAAUACUGACACUGAGGGGCGAAAGCAUGGGGAGCAAACA
rnacentral:rRNA from 1 species